GUUAUUUUCUACUCUUUGUCUCUACUUCCCUUCCCUCCCUGGCUUUACAGCAGGUAGAGCUUUAGCACGCAGCUGUUUCCUGGAUCCUAGUGAGUACGCAUGCAGGCCUUUUCUAAGACUGGUACCCAGGCUGUACCGCACGCUGGAUCAAACUAGCUGUAUUAGGCACAUAAAUGUAGUUGGGGGGUGGGAAUGGGAAAAAACCAUUUUCUUCGAAACUUGAGAGUCAGUGGCUGUGAGAAUUUUAAGGCACCCAGGCUCUCACUGAGACAUGCUGCUCAAAGUGAUUUUCCUCAUCAGAGCCCUUGACAUGCAAACCUUUGCCUUCAAAAGGUAAACCAUGGCUUUUAGAAUAGGGGAACUGGGGCCACUGGAGAUUCUGUUCAGAGCCUCGAUAGUUUAGUGUGUUCCUAAAGCCUUUCCCCGACCUUCCAUUCCCUGGGAUUGUGACCAUCAUGGAGAAGCUGUUAACAGAUGAUCUGUUAGUUACCCUGAGCAUCAGGCCAGCUGAGUGUCCGGAAGGGUAGGUGUUUUCAAUCCAUUGGCUCACUGCUAACCCUCAGCAUCUAACCAGACACCAAGCACUACAGCACUUAUAGGUAGUAUUUAUGAAUAGACCAGUGGUAUCUUUUAUUAGCGUUUAUGAAGCUACUAAUGUCAUUGUCACAUUUCACACAUGUGGAUAAUACACUCUAGUCACCGUCAGUCCCCAUUCCGAUGCACUGCUCUCCUCCCUCUGUUCUGUCCCUUUCCUCUCCUCUAAGCUCUCCUCUUAUUUUCACAUAUUCUCUUGGUUUCUUUCAUUAUUUUUGUGACAUCCACAUUAUAUAUAUAUAUAUAUAUGUGUGUGUGUGUGUGUGUGUAUAAUAUAUAUACACAUAUAUACAUAUACACAUGCAUACAAAACAUACAUACAUGUACACACACAUAUAUAUGAACAACUUCUUGAAUCCGUGUAGUGCUGUUCAUAUGUACAUGGUUUUAGGCCUCCCUGUCUCAGAGGUCAUUAAUUUUCUGAAGCUCCUCACCUCGAGGCAGGCCCUGUCUGGUUUCCUGUGUUCAUGCUGGCAUGUCAGUUGAUGGUGUCACUGUCUAGGUCUUGUUGAUCUUUUAUGGGUGUGGCAUCCCUCUCUUUUGUAGAGCACGGUCUCACAGCAGAUGUCUUGGUCCUCUUGCUCUUGCAGUCCCCCCUCCCCCUCCAUCUUCUUGAUGUUCUGUGUGCCUUAAAUGUAGGUUAGGUUGUACACAGUGACCAAUACAACAAGACAUCACCAGUAAUGCGUAGUAGUACUUACAUCUUGGGAGUAACCAACAGCUGUCUAAUUGGUCUUUUUUUUUUUUUUUUUUUAAUUUUAUGUAUACAAGUGUUCUGCUGCAUGUACUCCUGUAUGCCAGAAGAGGGCAUCAGAUCCCCUUAUAAAUGGUUGUGAGCCACCAUGUGGGUACUAGGAAUUAAACUCAGGUCCUCUAGAAGAGCAAGCCAAUGCUCUUAACCCCCGAGCCAUCUCUCCAGCCCCAUGUCUGAUUGGUCUUCAGGCAUGGUGAACAGGAAGGAUUUUAUGCCUGGUACUCUAAUCCUAGCCAACCACACAUUAUCAGUGAGGUCACAGAACCUAGAGGAAGUCUACUGCUGCCACUUUCUUAAAUCGGUAUAAUCUCUAACUGCAUUCUUUUUUUUUUAAGGAUUUAUUUAUUAUAUUUAUAUGAGUAAGUGUAGCUUUCAAUGAAAUUAUUUUUUUGCGAUAACUGGAGUCCAUUGCAGCUAGCUACAGCUAACUGAUCAGAAUGUGAGAGAACUGAGCAUAGGGUGCCAACCUUCAAUUCAUGUAUCUACAUCAGUUAUUUUGAAGGUGAAACAAUGUUCUCCAAGUUAUGCUAACCCCUUGUCAAAGACCAAAGAUACCUCAGGUGUAAAGAGCACAGUGUGGCGAGUGUGUGUGCACCAUUCACCUUAGGGAAGGCCUCCCACUUGCUCAGCAGCAGCUGCUUCCCUGCUUGUUUGUUGUCUUUUGUUUUCACCAUCACUUGGUUUUUAGCAGACAGGUGCAUCUUCAAAGAUAGCACUAGAGAAUAUGCUGUCUGCCUUUGAGUGUUUCUGGACCUCAACAAAAGAAUUCAUAGUAACAAGUGUCGCCCAGUUCUGUUUCUGAGAUUCAUGCAUGUGUUCUUGUACAAGAUCCUUUUGUUUCUGACUGUCACCCACAAGAGUAUUCCACUGUAUAAGGAGGCCUGUGCCACAGCUGUGUUCUUGAUGGCCAUUAGACUGUACCUCACUUUAUACUGUUGGGAAAAACACUGUUCUAGCUGAGGAGGUGUGGUCAUUCCUCAUUCACACUCAUUUGAUGGUGGUUUCAGAAUCCAGACAAGACUUGACAGAGACACGGUAAGAGCCCUUGAGCAUUCCUGGUGCCAUGUCAAGUCCUACAUCCUGUAGAAAAGCAUACAGUUUCUCAAGAUGGUCUUCAUAAAACUGUCAUGAGAUUUGCCAACUCUGCUUCUUGGUUAUAUCAUGUAAAGAGCAAAAGCAGAAAGUUUAAAAUGUUUUAAAAAUGUUACCAUGUUGUGUGUAUGGCUGUUUUGCUUGCUUAUAUGUCUGUGUACCAUAGAUAUACAAAACUCACAGAAGUCAGAAGAUGUUGGAUACUCAGAAACUGGAGUUACUUAAGGUUGUGAGCCUCCAUGUGGGGGCUGGGAAUUGAACCCAGGUUCUCUGAAAAAGUAACCAGUGCUCUGAACUGCUGAACCCCUCUCCAGCCCCCAAACAGAGUUUCCUAUGCUGCUGGUCAGAGUAGAACAGCCCAGAUUUCCAUGGCCAGGUGAAUGAGCAUCAAAACAUGGUGUGUUCAUACAUGGGGUGCCAUUUAGCUAAAUUUGACUUUGUGACUGGCUGUUAGAAAUGUGCCAAGGCUAUCCACUUGGGUAGAAUUACUGGAUGGG
rnacentral:lncRNA from 1 species